CUACGGAAGGCAGCAGUGGGGAAUAUUGCACAAUGGGCGGAAGCCUGAUGCAGCGACGCCGCGUGAGGGAUGACGGCCUUCGGGUUGUAAACCUCUUUCAGCAGGGACGAAGCGUAAGUGACGGUACCUGCAGAAGAAGCGCCGGCCAACUACGUGCCAGCAGCCGCGGUAAGACGUAGGGCGCGAGCGUUGUCCGGAUUUAUUGGGCGUAAAGAGCUCGUAGGCGGCUUGUCGCGUCGACCGUGAAAACUUGGGGCUCAACCCCAAGCCUGCGGUCGAUACGGGCAGGCUAGAGUUCGGUAGGGGAGACUGGAAUUCCUGGUGUAGCGGUGAAAUGCGCAGAUAUCAGGAGGAACACCGGUGGCGAAGGCGGGUCUCUGGGCCGAUACUGACGCUGAGGAGCGAAAGCGUGGGGAGCGAACAGGAUUAGAUACCCCGGUAGC
rnacentral:rRNA from 1 species